AUGCGUGUCAAGAUUUCAGAGUUGCUUGCAUAUCUGUGUAUCCCUAUUUUUCAUCUGUACAUGUAAACCACUAUUUGCACAUGCAGAAUGGAUCCUUAGAUGUGCAAACACUUGAUCUCCUUGCAUAAAUAUUUUUGCAAGCAGGUCAGUGUAUGAGAAUGGCUACAAGAAAUACAGGCUUCCUCGGCCCUGCUUCCACUGUUACCACUUUAAGAUGUCUGUGGAAAUCAAAGAACGUGGUCCUGGGAUCUGGAAGUUAAGAGAUGGUAGCCAUACUGGGCCCAGCGGAGCUGAAGGUCUUGUAACUUGUGUCCUCGAGGGAGAAACUGCUCUCAAACCCUGCCUACAUGACCUCGGUCUAUCUAUACGGAAAGCCUUCAGAGAUACACAAGUAGGUAAAUAUCACAGGGCUUUGCAACUAGGAAAAUGGAUUUAUAUGAAGUUACUGCGGAAAUUCAACUGAGUUCUGUAGCCCCAACUUUUUUUUUUCUUUCUUUCUUUUUUUUUUUUUUUUAACCUUGUGCUCCUUACUAAUCAUCACUGGAAGAAGGGGAGGAUAUAAAGUGGCUGAGACUACAGCUGCAUAAGACUUACUAUUUUGACUGUCAGUAUUUUGUUUGCUCUAGGUAUUUGCUUGGCACAAAUAAAUUAUAGGCCAAAUCCUCA
rnacentral:lncRNA from 1 species